rnacentral:rRNA from 1 species
AAGCGGUGGAGCAUGUGGUUAAUUCGAAGCAACGCGAAGAACCUUACCAGGUCUUGACAUCCCCUGACAACCGAGAGAUCGGGCGUUCCCCUUCGGGGGACAGGGUGACAGGUGGUGCAUGGUUGUCGUCAGCUCGUGUCGUGAGAUGUUGGGUUAAGUCCCGCAACGAGCGCAACCCUUGUCUUUAAUUGCCAUCAUUUAGUUGGGCACUUUAAAGAGACUGCCGGUGUUAAGCCGGAGGAAGUGGGGAUGACGUCAAGUCCUCAUGGCCUUUAUGCCCAGGGCUACACACGUGCUACAAUGGGCGGUACAAAGAGAAGCAACCUCGCGAGGGUGAGCAAAUCUCAAAAAGCCGUUCUCAGUUCGGAUUGAAGUCUGCAACUCGACUUCAUGAAGUCGGAAUCGCUAGUAAUCGCGGAUCAGCAUGCCGCGGUGAAUACGUUCCCGGGCCUU